rnacentral:rRNA from 1 species
CAGGAUGAACGCUAGCUACAGGCUUAACACAUGCAAGUCGAGGGGCAGCAUGAGCUUAGCUUGCUAAGCUUGAUGGCGACCGGCGCACGGGUGAGUAACGCGUAUCCAACCUUCCCCUUAGUAGGGCAUAGCCGGUGAAAAUCGGAUUAAUACCCUAUGUUCUUCACAGCGGGCAUCUAACGUGAAGCAAAGGUUCACCGCUAAGGGAUGGGGAUGCGUCUGAUUAGGUAGUCGGCGGGGUAACGGCCCACCGAGCCAUCGAUCAGUAGGGGUUCUGAGAGGAAGGUCCCCCACAUUGGAACUGAGACACGGUCCAAACUCCUACGGGAGGCAGCAGUGAGGAAUAUUGGUCAAUGGUCGAGAGACUGAACCAGCCAAGUAGCGUGCAAGGAUGACGGCCCUAUGGGUUGUAAACUGCUUUUAUGCGGGGAUAAAGUCACCCACGUGUGGGUGUUUGCAGGUACCGCAUGAAUAAGGACCGGCUAAUUCCGUGCCAGCAGCCGC